GGGGUCGUGGCUCAGUCGUAGAGCACUUGCCUAGCAUGCAUGAGGCACUGAGUUCGAUCCCC
rnacentral:tRNA from 1 species